CGCCACAACUCACACCACUGACUAUUUUCUCACUCCAGAAGAACUUCACCCAACGAGAUGAAGAAAUCACCAGCUGGCAGUUGUCAUUCCUGCUUCAGCCUGGGAAAUCCAUCCUCUGUGGCCAAAUGCAAACUGCAGCACAAUUCCAGGAGGCCUCAGAAAUGGAAGUCAUAGUCCUGGCAGGUGAAUCUAACCAGCUCCAACCCAAAAGACCCAGACCCAGUAGCGGUGCUCUCAAGAAGCAUGAAUUGCUGCACUUGUGAUGGCAACCUUCCAUAAGACAACAGUGAUGGGGAGAAGGAGCUCAUCCACUUGGACAGUCUGCUGCAUAUGAGCCAGCAGUGUGCCCAGGUGGCCAAGGCGGCCAGUACCAUCCUGGCUUGGAUCCGUAAUGAUGUGGUGAGCACCACUGGAAAAGUCAUCCUGCCCCUGUACUGCGCACUGGUGAGGCCUCACCUCGAGUGCUGUGUUCAGUUUUGGGCACCUUGGUACAGAAGGGAAACCGAGGUACUGGAGCAGGUCCAAAGAAGGGCUACAAAGCUGAUGAAGGGCUUGUGAAGGGCCUGGGGCCCCCAGCACAAGAAAGACGCAGAGCUCUUGGACCGGGUCCAGAGGAGGGCCACUAAGAUGACCACAGGGCUUUCUUCUCCUCUGAAGAAAGGUUGAGGGAACUGGGCUUGUUCAGCUUGGAGAAGAGAAGGCUCCAGAGAGACCUCAUGGUGGCCUUCCAAUACUUGAAGGGAGCACAUAAACAGAAGGGGGAAUGACAUGGGUUGAUAGCGAUAGGACAAGGAGGAACGGUUUUCAAAUGAGACGGGGGAGGUUUGGGUUAGACAUGAGGAGGAAGUUUUUCACUCAGAAGGUGGUGACGCACCGGAACAACUUGCCCAGAGAGGCUGUGGACGCCCCAUCCCCGGAGGCAUUGAAGGCCAGGCUGGAUGUG
ensembl:lncRNA